GACGAACGCUGGCGGCGUGCUUAACACAUGCAAGUCGAACGGAAAGGCCCUGCUUUUGUGGGGUGCUCGAGUGGCGAACGGGUGAGUAACACGUGAGUAACCUGCCCUUGACUUUGGGAUAACUUCAGGAAACUGGGGCUAAUACCGGAUAGGAGCUCCUGCUGCAUGGUGGGGGUUGGAAAGUUUCGGCGGUUGGGGAUGGACUCGCGGCUUAUCAGCUUGUUGGUGGGGUAGUGGCUUACCAAGGCUUUGACGGGUAGCCGGCCUGAGAGGGUGACCGGCCACAUUGGGACUGAGAUACGGCCCAGACUCCUUCGGGAGGCAGCAGUGGGGAAUAUUGCACAAUGGGCGGAAGCCUGAUGCAGCAACGCCGCGUGCGGGAUGACGGCCUUCGGGUGGUAAACCGCUUUCGCCUGUGACGAAGCGUGAGUGACGGUAAUGGGUAAAGAAGCACCGGCUAACUACGU
rnacentral:rRNA from 1 species